GGGGAGCAAAACCCUUUCUACGGAGCGGGGGGGCUGCAGAGCCGGAGCUAAGAGGAGACGCAGCUGCCACCUCCCCCCCCCACUGCACCUGCUGACGUGCAGCUGGUGAUUCAGCUGCUGCUCAGGAGGAGCCCCAGCAAGCGGCCCAGCGCUCGUGUCGCCGCUAACAUGCUUCACCUGAGCCUGUGGGGGGGGCGGGCUCUAUCCGACCUGAGGAAGCUCUCUGAUUGGCUGCUGUGUCAGUCGGCCGUGGUGCUGCUGGGGGGGUGCAGCGGGCCGGGAGGGUGCACGGUGGAGGCGGAGCUUCAGAGGAGCUUCCUGUCCAACCUGGAUCUGGAGGAGCUUCGCACCGCGGGGGGGUUCCUGCUGUACGGCCGGGGGGGGGGGCAGCGGCGUCUGAUUAGACUCACCUUCAGACCAAACAAGAGGAUUCUCCCCUCGCGUUAAGAUAAGAUAAGAUAAGAAGUACUUUAUAGAUCCCAAUUUGGGAAAUGUUUGCGUUGCAGCAGCAUAGAAAGACAAGGUAUUGUACUUAGAAAUUAAAAGUAUAUAUAAAUAAACCAUCAAACUGAGACAAAGACAGGCCACGAGUCCAACUCAAAACACAGACUUUAUUAAUUAGAUCAGCUGCUUACAUUGAAAGUACAUGAGUGUUAAUGAUGAGACAAUCAUCAUGUGAUUGGUCUGUUAAUAAACCCAUCUAACCCAGAUCAGAGGUUUACAUUCACCCCACAAGCAGCCGUGUUCAUUCAAACAUCAUCGUGCUGUUUAGGGAAGAUUAGUUUCCUAAAUGCAAAUAAGGCUCAUCGAAUCUGACCCUUCUUAAAAAGUAAUGACCAUGUUUGCAUGAGAGUAAAAAGCCAGCAUUAAAAUAAAAGCUGCACACUGUGCCGCUCAGACUCUGCUGUGUAGGGCCACGUUAUAUUUUAAAUAUUCACAGGGAAGCCGGUCAUUGAGCUCAAAUGCAUGCACGCUGUGGUUUGCACUUUAUGUUCACGUUUGCACUUCAGACGUUAUUAUAUGUUAGUUUGUAGACAUCAUGUAUUAUAUUCUGCAGAAGUGAUUGAACUCGUCACUAUGACCUGUUCUUAACGAGCCUCAGUAACCCUUUACUGCUGCCAUUCAAACUGAAGUGAUGUCACGUGUUCACAAACUACAGAUGGUGGGAAGACUUUGGGAUAAAUGUACAUUUUCCUGCAGUUUCAGAAUAAAAGCCUCCGUGUGGAAAUAAAUCAGAAA